rnacentral:lncRNA from 1 species
AAAUGACGCAAGUACGAACUUGUUAGGUUUAUGACAGUAUAAUUGAGUUCAAAAAUUUGUAAGGGUUCCACGGAACCCAGUGUCUCGCCUACUUCUGCUGUUAAUGGCAGACUCAACAAAAAUGAGGAAAAACAUCAAUAAAAAUUUCCCUCUCGAUACUGUCUUUUGAUUGAAAGAAGCUUCCAAGUUUGGUAAAAAAUUCAGGAUAGUUUAUGAAUCUAAUAAAUGUUUUAUAAACUUUAACUGCAGACUGUAUGUAAUGUUAACUGGAAGAAAAAACUAAGUCCAUUUAUAAGUAAAAUACGGAAAAAGUGAAUUUUUUUUUUACAAAUUUAGCUUCUGAAUAAUAUCUUAUGAUCAGAAACAAGCU